AUAAUCGCUUCCCUGAGCCAAAAGGCCUGAGAGAUUCCUCCUCCUCCAACUUUUGAGUUCCUCACCCUGAAACCGGAAGCUCCAAUGGCCUCCCUCCCGGGUUUGUCUCACUUGUACCCAAACCACCAUUUCAAGAAGAGUUCACUUCGCUCUUCAUCUCCUCCCACCCCUCUCCUUCAGACGCAACCCUCAAUCCUUUGCUUUGACUCGUCUUCGUGUAAAACCGGGGGUUCGAGAUCGCUUCGCAAUCGUGUUCUUGCUAGAGCUGAAGAUAAGGCCAGGGGGUCGACAUCAUCAUCAUCUUCUUUUCCGUCUCAGCAGCAUCGUGCUCAACUAAACUCUGAGAAUCAGCUAGAGGAGCUGACACCAAAAUCUGGAUCAUGUGAUCCUUUGUGUUCACUGGAUGAAACCAGUUCACGUGAUUUUGAAGCCGCUUACCAGCCCAAGACUGAUUUUCUUAAAGCUCUUGCCAUAUUUGCAGCAACUACAAUAGGGGCAGUGGCGAUUAAUCAAUCAUGGGUUGCUGCCAAUCAGGAUGUUGCCAUGGCACUGUUAUUUGGAAUCGGGUAUGCAGGCAUCAUUUUCGAAGAAUCUCUGGCCUUCAAUAAAAGUGGAGUAGGAUUACUGAUGGCCGUGAGCUUAUGGGUAGUGCGAAGCAUUGGGGCUCCUUCGACCGAGAUAGCUGUUUCAGAGUUAACACAUGCAUCUGCAGAAGUCAGUGAAAUAGUGUUUUUCUUGCUUGGUGCAAUGACAAUUGUAGAAAUAGUUGAUGCUCAUCAAGGUUUUAAGCUGGUUACUGACAAUAUAACCACUCGAAAGCCACGGACUCUCCUCUGGGUGGUUGGUUUUGUGACUUUUUUCCUUAGUUCGAUCCUAGACAACCUGACAUCUACCAUUGUCAUGGUGUCAUUAUUGCGGAAACUAGUACCUCCAUCAGAAUUCCGCAAGCUUCUAGGAGCUGUUGUAGUGAUUGCAGCAAAUGCAGGUGGUGCAUGGACUCCUAUUGGUGAUGUUACCACUACUAUGCUGUGGAUACAUGGUCAAAUAUCCACUCUGCCGACAAUGAAGGGAUUGUUUGUACCUGCAGCCGUUUCUCUAGCUGUCCCUCUAGCACUCAUGUCCCUGACCAGUGAAGUUAAUGGCAAGGGACAGGAUUCUCCGAACGUGUUGGCAUCUGAACAGAUGGCUCCUCGAGGACAGCUUGUUUUCUCAGUAGGUAUUGGAGCUUUGAUUUUUGUUCCGGUGUUCAAGGCCCUAACUGGUUUGCCUCCCUAUAUGGGUAUGCUACUUGGACUUGGAGUUCUUUGGAUUCUGACUGAUGCUAUCCACUAUGGUGAAUCUGAAAGGCAGAAGUUGAAAGUACCACAAGCUUUAUCACGGAUUGACACUCAAGGAGCACUUUUCUUCCUUGGAAUCCUUUUGUCUGUAAGCAGCCUUGAGGCUGCAGGGAUUCUUCGGGAAUUGGCAAAUUUCCUUGAUGCUCGUAUUCCUAAUGCUGAAUUGAUUGCCAGUGCAAUAGGAGUCGUAUCAGCAAUUAUAGACAAUGUUCCACUGGUUGCAGCAACAAUGGGAAUGUAUGAUCUCACCUCUUAUCCCCAAGAUUCUGAGUUUUGGCAGUUGAUUGCAUAUUGUGCCGGCACUGGUGGAUCCAUGCUAGUUAUUGGCUCAGCAGCUGGAGUUGCAUUCAUGGGGAUGGAAAAGGUGAACUUCUUUUGGUACCUGCGGAAGGUGAGUGGUUUUGCUUUUGCAGGUUACGCUGCUGGGAUUGCUGCUUACCUAGCAGUACAUAACCUCCCCAUCUCCCUACCUACGACUCUAGCGGAGGUUCCUUUCCUCUCUAGUUCAUAAAUCAUAGAGCUUUGGCUAGGAUGUCUCCCUGGUUUCAAGCUUGGCGGUAAAGAAAACGGCAGUACGCAUAAUCUAGCGGAGUGGUGAUCGAUGAAAUUCGAUAAUUUGACAUUCUUUGGCGAGGACACGUUUGCAUUGGACAGCUUGGACGGACUCUAUGGCGUCUUGAUUCUUCUCAGUAAGAUCCAUUUUUGUAGCAGUAAAGAAAAACAGAAUCAAAAUUAUAGAUUGCCGUAAAUCAGAGGUUGUGAAUUACAUUGAUUUGAAAAUGCUAACGUUUGUGAUUCUGAGCGA